rnacentral:lncRNA from 1 species
GGAGGGGGAAGAGACUUGAGGCAGACUGACCCACCAGCAGGCUUCUAGCAAUAAUCCUGGUGUAGGCGAUGAGAGCCUGCACCAGGGCAAUGUCAGAGGAAAGUUGGAAUUGGAGAGAUGGUGCAAAGGUGAAACUGACAAGCCUUGGGGGCAGCUUGCAUUUGGGGUGAGGGGUGGGGGAUGGGGGGAGAAAGUGAGGGAUCCAGGAUGAUUACAAGCCCAAAAGCCUAUCAAGAUGGCCGUUAUCAUCUACAGUAAUAGGGAAAGUAGGAAGAGAGGACGGUUUAGGAAGAAGGAUAAGUUCUGUUUUGAAUAUAUUGAGUUAAAGAUGUCUAUUACACAUCCAGUUAGAGAUGUCUAAAAGGCAGUUGGAGAUGGGAGCUCAGCAGAAAGUCUUGGGUAGAAUAGGUAGAUUUGAGAAUCAUUGUAUCAUAGUUAAUGAUAUCAUAUCAUCAUUAUACCAUAUAUUAACAUCAUAAUUAAUGAGUAAAUCAUCAUUACCAGUCAUAGAAAUGGUGACUAAAUUUAUGGGCUGAUGAGAACAUCAAGUGAAAUGGUGUAGAUAGGGAAGAAGAGGAAAAAGGCCCAGAAUGGAACCCUCAGAGACACUUACAGUUAGAAGAGUCAGAAAAGGAGACUUAGGAUGGGCAAGAUAGGUAGGAGGACAGCUGCUUAACUCUACUUAUUGUAAUAAUAGAAAUAUCAACCCAAAAAUAGGAGGAGGAAGAAGAAAAGAAAAGAACAUCAAUAAGGUGCCAGUCAGUCAGAGAAUUCCUCAGAAAUUUAAAAAUCUAUCUCUUUGGAUUCUCCCAAUCCACCUAUUCCUGGAAGUGGAAAGUCCACAGGUAUUUGCACAUUUUUCAGACUUUUGCACUCUACUCAUCAGUUGUGUUAAAUAUUUUUUCCACUUUUUUUUCUGGUCUUUAAAAACCUAUUUGUUAUAUUCAAUGACUCUCUGGAAAGGAAGGGGGAGAGAUACUAGGAAUAACUACGAUGGUGUAAAAACAUUAAUAAAAACUCAUUUAAAAAUAAAAUCAAGGUAAUAUAUGUAAAACCUGGAUCAAAUUACUUGCCAUCUCUGGGGUGGGAAGAGAGGGAAAGAAACAAUUUAGAUUUUAUAACUGGAAAUUUAUUACAUGUAAUUG